CCCCUCCCUGCCCCACCAUGGCUGCCGCUUCCUGGGCUGCUCCCGCCACUUCCUUCGCGCCGUCGCCGGCGCCGGGGAGGCUCAAGGCGGCGCCUUUAACCGCUAGGACGCUUCCCCAAAGAGUCCUUUUCCGGGCGGCCAGCGAAUCCUCCAUGGUUGCUGGUGGCACAUUGCUUGGUUUGUAUGAGAAAGAGAGGUUAAGCUUCUCACAGUAUGCAGACGAGGAGUCUAAUGAAGAGAGGUACUGGGAAAUCUUGGAUGCUGAUUUGCGCCACUGGACUAGAUCCUUGCGCCCAGUGCAGUGGUAUCCUGGUCACAUUGCGAAAACAGAGAAAGAGUUGAAGGAACAGUUAAGGCUCAUGGAUGUUGUCAUAGAGAUCCGUGAUGCUAGGAUUCCCUUGUCCACCAGCCAUCCUAAGAUGGAUUCCUGGCUAGGCAACCGGAGAAGGAUAAUAGUCUUGAACCGCGAGGACAUGAUCUCAACUGAGGACAGGAAUGCAUGGGCUACUUACUUUGCUAAUCAGGGCACCAAAGUUUUUUUCUCCAAUGGGCAGCUGGGCAUGGGUACAAUGAAAUUAGGUAGGAUGGCAAAAUCAGUAGCAUCUGUUGUGAACACAAAGCGAAGGAAAAAGGGACUACUUCCUCGUCCGGUUCGAGCUGGAAUAGUUGGAUAUCCAAAUGUUGGCAAAUCUUCCUUGAUUAAUCGCUUGCUUAAACGAAGAAUGUGUCCAGCAGCACCUAGACCAGGUGUCACAAGAGAGCUGAGGUGGGUUCAUUUUGGAACAGAUCUAGAGUUGUUAGAUUCGCCUGGAAUUUUGCCUAUGCGAAUUAGUGACCAGACAGCUGCAAUUAAGCUUGCUAUAUGUGAUGACAUUGGAGAAAGGUCAUACGAUUUUGCCGAUGUGGCGGCGAUUCUUGUGCAGAUGUUGAUAAGGCAUCCUUCAGUAGGUUCUGAAGCAUUUCGAAGGCGAUAUAGGAUUGAUGUAGAUUGCGACUGCGGUAAAAUGUUUGUCACAAAGCUCUCUCUUCACUUGUUCAAUGGAGACGCGAGCCAGGCAGCUUUCCGCAUCUUGUCUGACUAUAGGAAAGGCAAAUUUGGCUGGGUGGCGCUGGAGAGACCUCCAACAUGAGCAAUGCCGAUACCAGAGGUUCUUAUAUGCUAGAGCUGCACUUGUUCAUAGCACAACACAAUGUCCCUUUGUGGCACCACUGUAAGACAAUUUUACCUGGACCUGCACCUGUAUGAGGAAUUAAUUUGGAAUAGUUGUCCAUCUACAGGCACAACACAUCAGAAUUCAGAAAUCCUCCUGUUGUUACCUGGCAGUCUAGAGCAACAGAGCUGAUCUGUAUAAUCAGAUACUAACUUUUUACAUCCCUGCUAGGGCUAUGGUUUUCAAGAUUGCAGACGAACUGCGCAAACCUCAGGUUUAUGUUGCAGUUAGUUUCAUGGUUCAAUGAAUUUUAAGGUCGUCAAGCCUGUCGAUUAAAUCCAAAGCUUUUGUCCUAUCAAUCUCGAAGUCGAUAACAGGAAGCAUGGAAGACCUCCUAACUGAGAGCAAGUCUUUCCUGUUGCCACUGGCUGGAGAAUGACUAUUGCUCUUGCUCAACCUACUCUGUUUGCUGUGUCUUGACUUUGUGUCAAACUCUUGACUUUUGCUUAUCCCAGGGACGAAUUUCCUGUACCUAACAUCCCUUAGCAUAUCCUGAUCCUCUUGUGUGAGAAUCGGUGAUGAAUUGUUCGAUUUGCUUGGCAACAAUGUGAUUGCGAUA